rnacentral:rRNA from 1 species
CCCUUAGAUGUUCUGGGCCGCACGCGCGCUACACUGACGAAUGCAACGAGCUUAUAACCUUGGCCGAAAGGUCUGGGUAAUCUCCAAAUUUCGUCGUGAUGGGGAUAGAUUAUUCCAAUUAUUAAUCUUCAACGAGGAAUGCCUAGUAAGCGCAAGUCAUCAGCUUGCGUUGAUUACGUCCCUGCCCUUUGUACACACCGCCCGUCGCUCCUACCGAUUGAAUGGUCCGGUGAAGCGUUCGGACCGUGGCCUUUGGACGGUUCGCCGUCUGUUGGCUGCGGGAAGUUCGUUAAACCUUAUCAUUUAGAGGAAGGAGAAGUCGUAACA